AUUGAACGCUGGCGGCAUGCUUUACACAUGCAAGUCGAACGGUAGACCCUUUCGGGGGUUGAGAGUGGCGAACGGGUGAGUAAUGCAUCGGAACGUGCCUAGUCGUGGGGGAUAACGUAGCGAAAGUUACGCUAAUACCGCAUACGCACUGAGGUGGAAAGCGGGGGACCGUAAGGCCUCGCGCGAUUGGAGCGGCCGAUGUCGGAUUAGCUAGUUGGUGAGGUAAAGGCUCACCAAGGCGACGAUCCGUAGCGGGUCUGAGAGGAUGAUCCGCCACACUGGGACUGAGACACGGCCCAGACUCCUACGGGAGGCAGCAGUGGGGAAUUUUGGGACAAUGGGCGCAAGCCUGAUCCAGCCAUGCCGCGUGCGGGAAGAAGGCCUCGG
rnacentral:rRNA from 1 species